GCUUUUGCGGCAUGGGAUGGGGUCGCGUCCUAUCAGCUUGUUGGCGGGGUGACGGCCCACCAAGGCGUUGACGGGUAGCCGGCCUGAGAGGGCGACCGGCCACAUUGGGACUGAGAUACGGCCCAGACUCCUACGGGAGGCAGCAGUGGGGAAUAUUGCACAAUGGGCGCAAGCCUGAUGCAGCGACGCCGCGUGAGGGAUGGAGGCCUU
rnacentral:rRNA from 1 species